rnacentral:rRNA from 1 species
GGUUAAGUGACUAAGCGUACACGGUGGAUGCCUUGGCAGUCAGAGGCGAUGAAGGACGUAGUAACUUGCGAUAAGCGGUGAUGAGGCAGUAACAGCCACUUGAGUCACCGAUUUCCGAAUGGGGAAACCCACUGGCAUAAGCCAGUAUCAUUGAGUGAAUACAUAGCUCAAUGAAGCGAACCGGGAGAACUGAAACAUCUAAGUACCCCGAGGAAAAGAAAUCAACCGAGAUUCCGAAAGUAGCGGCGAGCGAAAUUGGAUUAGCCCUUAAGCUUUACAUG